rnacentral:lncRNA from 10 species
UCUAAAAAGGAAGUCUGGCCAUACCCUGGAUGUCUGAGCUGGCAGCACAACCCAGUGGAUAUUCCAGUCACUCAUGGGGCAGGGAUUGUGCCCCACAGACGCUCGAAUGGUCCAGAAGCACUGGCUCAGGGUGAGAAAAAAAGCAUAGCCCACCUGGCUGUACAACUGCAAAGGGGAUAUGGUCCAGCUCCUGUGGACAUCACUGAACAGGCACAGCAUGGCAGGUGCUGGGAGCAGUCACACAGUGGGCAGCUAGAACCUUCUCCCUGCUGCUAUGAGAGCAACACUGAUUGGAACUGGACACUGUGGGGAGAAAAAAGCCUUUUUUGUCCACUUCCUACCUAGCCAAUCUCCCCUGAAUGCUUCCUAUUGACAGAACCUAAAAGGAAGUCAGUUGGUGAGGGGACUAAGAAGUGGAGUUUGGAGAUCUUCAGCUCCAAAUGGAGCUGAGAGACCAGAGGGCAGAAGAUGAAGAGCCAGAAAACCUGGAUCCUGGCCCCAACCCAGCACUGACUGGGUUACUGAUGUUACCAAACACAAAGUCCACUCCUGAAGCCCACUGGGAUGUAAAAUCCAUGACUACAGAGAUUUUGUGGGUCUUGUUCAUCAUUGCAUAUCAUCGGCAUCUAACACAGUGCUUGGCUUCUCAGAAGAAAAAUAGAAUUACCAUUCAACCUAGUGAUCCCAUUUAUAGGUAAGUACCCAAAGGAAAAUAAAUUGCUCUACCAAAAAGUUACCUGCUCUCAUAUGUGUAUUGCAGCACUAUUCACAAUAGCAAA